AUGUCACAUUUUCUUGACCCCCUCCCUCCCCCUAAACGUGUGACGUAAUUAAUGGAUGACCCCUAAGGCGAAAAUUAUUAAAACAAUUUAUUUGAAUAAAUAUAACUUUAUUCAUCUGGAUGAAACAUACAAAAUCUUAAAACGAAUUGAACAAUGUCACACAAGAUAAUAUUAAACAUUAUUAAUAAUGAGGAUCAAUUGAAGUGCACUUGACGAGAUAUUUUUAAGAGAAAUUUAAUAAAAUUAUUCUUAUAAUUAAAUGGUGCUAGCCUAAGACACAAUUAUUUUACAAAUCAACAAGGAUUUUAUACAAUUAAAUUAUUACUAACUA